UUUCCGUAGGUGAACCUGCGGAAGGAUCAUUAAAAAUGAAGCCGGGAAACCGGUCCUUCUAACCCUUGAUUAUCUUAAUUUGUUGCUUUGGUGGGCCGCGCAAGCACCGGCUUCGGCUGGAUCGUGCCCGCCAGAGGACACAACUCUGUAUCAAAUGUCGUCUGAGUACUAUAAAAUAGUUAAAACUUUCAACAACGGAUCUCUUGGUUCUGGCAUCAAUGAAGAACGCAGC
rnacentral:misc_RNA from 1 species